rnacentral:lncRNA from 1 species
GGCCGAGGACGCUGGUGACUCUACCCAGCUCGGUCUUGGAAGCCGGGUCUGUUUUGUGCUUUAUGCCAAAGACCAGCAAAACACCAGGGACGCGUGUCCUGGUGGAACUUACAGCCCAGAAGCGGCCACGCACACUUGGCAACAUCCGCAUUUGUUCAAAUGCAAAAGUUGCAAAUGUGGCCAACAUAGGAGCGCAACGAAGGCCUCGGAAGUUCCUGACCUGGCUGUUAGAGACCUGGCCCUUUUCCAAGGCACAGCAGUGUCAGUACUUUCCUCUGAGACCCAGGAUCCUCACUGGCAGAAUUUCCGUCAACGGCUCCCUAAGAGAACACGGUUUGUAAGCGCCUAGGAUGCCCUACGUUGACACCGCGCUUCGUUCUUCCUCUAACACGUCUGCGCCCAUCUCAGGAUCUCUACCCACGCUUUUCUCUAUGAAUAAAGCAAGCUCCCUUUCCCCUUA